GCAUGGCUGAAUUCUGUUCCAGCUGCUGCGUGAUGGAUACAGUCAGACACCAUGCAAAAGCAUGCUCUCAUUUCUGCUUCAUUUUUUGACUUAGCGCUUCUUUCAGCCUCAGUCAAAUGUUUGGGAAUGAGUACAAGU
ensembl:snoRNA small nucleolar RNA SNORA15